UCAAUGAUAAUUCAUGUCAGCACAAGAAGUGCUGACUACUGGGCUUAUGAUACCCUUGGGGAAACAAAUCUCCACCAGCAGUGGCAUGAAUAUUAUAAAUCUCCAACGAAAUAAACCUUUUUCAUAUGAAAAAUGAACAGACAAUAGUAGGACGAUCGCAAACAGAGGAAAUUGAAACAACAAGAAGGUAUAAAUGACACCCCUGUUUCGGAUGGACGGAAUCGUAUAUCUAGGAAGUACAAUGCUUUUUAAAACGUACCUGACAUUAAGUGCCUAAAACCAUUAAAACACUCCCUUGGUUACCUCCUGUAAUGUAUUCAAGCUGAAUAUUACCACAAAAACAUCUGAUAACAUUCAUGACCACCCACCUCAUGCCCUUUUCGUAAUAUUGCAUACUUUGAUAUGUUUGCGUCUUAACUAGUAAGCGAUGUUUUUUCCUGAUCAUUAAGGGGGUAGCCCAACGUUUCCCACUCGUUUAAUUUUUCUUAUAUUGAUAUUAUAGUACGGGUCCGAGCAUCAUUGCCAAAGUCUUAACGAAAUUCACCGUUUCAUUAUAUGUUUAGGGUAUAUUGAAUAUGACCAGUUUUGGGUACCAUAAAAACGAUCGAAAACACUUGUGUUUUUGCACAUGUUGUCACAGUUUUUAACUAUUGAUACGUCGAAAAGUCUGGCAAGCUCAGACAACAAUUUCUAUUCAAACAUAGCCAG
rnacentral:lncRNA from 1 species